AGGGUUCCAUGUGAACAGCAGUUGAACAUGGGUCAGUCGGUCCUAAGCGAUAGGCGAGCGCCGUUCCGAAAGGGCGGGCGAUGGCCUCCGUUGCCCUCAGCCGAUCGAAAGGGAGUCGGGUUCAGAUCCCCGAAUCCGGAGUGGCGGAGACGGGCGCCGCGAGGCGCCCAGUGCGGUGACGCAACCGAUCCCGGAGAAGCCGGCGGGAGCCCCGGGGAGAGUUCUCUUUUCUUUGUGAAGGGCCGGGCGCCCUGGAAUGGGUUCGCCCCGAGAGAGGGGCCCGCGCCUUGGAAA
rnacentral:ncRNA from 1 species